rnacentral:rRNA from 1 species
CCCUUAGAUGUCCUGGGCUGCACGCGCGCUACACUGAUGUGUCCAGUAAGCACCUAACCUAUUCCGAGAGGAGCGGGUAACCUUAGCAAAGCACAUCGUGAUGGGGGUAGAUUAUUGCAAUUAUUAGUCUUGAACGAGGAAUUCCUAGUAAGCACAAGUCAUCAGCUUGUGUUGAUUACGUCCCUGCCCUUUGUACACACCGCCCGUCGCUCCUACCGAUUGAAUGUUCCGGUGAGCUCUUCGGACUGCGCGGUCUGCAGUUUCUGCGUUCCGUGCGGAAAGUUGUGCAAACCUUAACAUUUAGAGGAAGGAGAAGUCGUAACA